GAUGAACGCUGGCGGCGUGCCUAAUACAUGCAAGUCGAGCGAACGGAUGAGAAGCUUGCUUCUCUGAUGUUAGCGGCGGACGGGUGAGUAACACGUGGAUAACCUACCUAUAAGACUGGGAUAACUUCGGGAAACCGGAGCUAAUACCGGAUAAUAUUUUGAACCGCAUGGUUCAAAAGUGAAAGACGGUCUUGCUGUCACUUAUAGAUGGAUCCGCGCUGCAUUAGCUAGUUGGUAAGGUAACGGCUACCAAGGCAACGAUGCAUAGCCGACCUGAGAGGGUGAUCGGCCACACUGGAACUGAGACACGGUCCAGACUCCUACGGGAGGCAGCAGUAGGGAAUCUUCCGCAAUGGGCGAAAGCCUGACGGAGCAACGCCGCGUGAGUGAUGAAGGUCUUCGGAUCGUAAAACUCUGUUAUUAGGGAAGAACAUAUGUGUAAGUAACUGUGCACAUCUUGACGGUACCUAAUCAGAAAGCCACGGCUAACUACGUG
rnacentral:rRNA from 1 species